GAGUUUGAUCAUGGCUCAGGAUGAACGCUGGCGGCGUGCCUAAUGCAUGCAAGUCGAGCGACGCACGUCCAGUCCGUAAGGACCGGGCAUGACGGAGCGGCGAACGGGUGAGUAACACGUGAGCAACCUGCCCCGCAGACCGGGAUAGCCCAGGGAAACCUGGAUUAAUACCGGAUCAUCUCGGUGGAUCGCAUGAUCUGCCGAGCAAAUGCUUUUGCGCUGUGGGAUGGGCUCGCGGCUUAUCAGCUAGUUGGUGGGGUAACGGCCCACCAAGGCAUUGACGAGUAGCUGGUCUGAGAGGACGAUCAGCCACACUGGGACUGAGACACGGCCCAGACUCCUACGGGAGGCAGCAGUGGGGAAUAUUGGACAAUGGGCGCAAGCCUGAUCCAGCCAUGCCGCGUGUGUGAAGAAGGCCUUUUGGUUGUAAAGCACUUUAAGCGAGGAGGAGGCUACUUGGAUUAAUACUCUAGGAUAGUGGACGUUACUCGCAGAAUAAGCACCGGCUAACUCUGUGCCAGCAGCCGCGGUAAUACAGAGG
rnacentral:rRNA from 1 species